GAUGAACGCUAGCGGCAGGCUUAAUACAUGCAAGUCGAGGGGCAGCAUGGGUAGUAAUACCUGAUGGCGACCGGCAAACGGGUGCGGAACACGUACGCAACCUUCCCAUAACUGGUGAAUAGCCUUCCGAAAGGAAGAUUAAUACACCGUAAUAUAAUGAAGUGGCAUCACUUCAUUAUUAUAGCUUCGGCGGUUUUGGAUGGGCGUGCGUCUGAUUAGGUAGUUGGCGGGGUAACGGCCCACCAAGCCUGCGAUCAGUAACUGGUGUGAGAGCACGACCAGUCACACGGGCACUGAGACACGGGCCCGACUCCUACGGGAGGCAGCAGUAAGGAAUAUUGGUCAAUGGACGCAAGUCUGAACCAGCCAUGCCGCGUGAAGGAUGAAGGGCCCUCUGGGUUGUAAACUUCUUUUAUCUGGGACGAAAAAAGGGCUUUCUAGCUCGUCUGACGGUACCAGAGGAAUAAGCACCGGCUAACUCCGUGCCA
rnacentral:rRNA from 1 species